UACGUAGGGACCAAGCGUUGUUCGGAUUUACUGGGCGUAAUGGGCGCGUAGGCGGCGUGGUAAGUCACUUGUGAAAUCUCUGAGCUUAACUCAGAACGGCCAAGUGAUACUGCUGUGCUAGAGUGCAGAAGGGGCAAUCGGAAUUCUUGGUGUAGCGGUGAAAUGCGUAGAUAUCAAGAGGAACACCUGAGGUGAAGACGGGUUGCUGGGCUGACACUGACGCUGAUGCGCGAAAGCCAGGGGAGCAAACGGG
rnacentral:rRNA from 1 species